CAGAGUUUCACUUUUAGUCUGUCAAGGAGCACAACUAACAAGUUUUGAGCUUUGAAGACAAAGGAGGAAAAGGAGGAAGUCGAACUGUGUAAGAUUGUUUUAAUGGUUGUAAGUCUGCAGUCUUCAUAAAAUAUGAUGUCCUAAAUUACAAGGAAUAUGAACUUCUGUCCAGACUGUGGAAAUCGAGUGGAUAGUUCAUAUAAAUUCUGCCCUAAUUGUGGGUUUAAGCUCUAUCUGCUAGCUCAAAACAGGAAGCAAGGUUAGUUUCUUUUAGGCAAACACUUUGUCUGAUGUUUCUGUGGUAUCUCAGUGUUAACCCUUUACCUAUUUUAUUGAUGUGGUAAAAACAAUAUAUAAAAUAUGAAUUUUAAAUCCCUUUAUGGCUUUACAGUGCCCUCUUUUGCCUUAAUUAUCUUCAAGGGAACUUUGGACAACAAUAUAGCAAUAACUGAUGGAUAUUUAACCUAGAAAGGAAUGAGAGCUUAGAUAACAAAUGGUUGUUUUUUUAAUACAAUAAUUAAAAUGAAUUCAAGACUAAACAUAAUUUGCUGUAUUAUAUAGACCUAUUUUUUUAUCCUUUUUUCUACAUGACAACUUAGAACUUAAGUAGAUUUUGUAAUGAUUUGUUGUGGUUAGGCCUGUCGCGAUAAACGAUAAAUCGAUUAAUCGUACGAUAAAUUAAAACUAUCAACGUCAUUUCAAUU